rnacentral:lncRNA from 1 species
CAAAUGUUUUAGUGCUGCUUUUUUCCCAAGUGGCAAAGCUGAGAGAGGGAAAACUGAAGGGAUGUGAUCAGUAGAGAAGGAUGGAGCUGGUGGAAGGUGGGAAGUCCUUGCUCACAGGCUUUCACCCCUGUCUUGCCUGGAAUAGCUGCACAGCACUGGCAGGAAUCUGCUGAGGGACAUUAGACAAGGGGGCUGAAGGUAUAAAAAGGUGACAUUGAUUUUAUUGCUCAGAAAUAUGGGCCAGUUAAUUUUCUUUAUGUGCCUGGCAUCUUGGCCACGCUGAGAGAUUUUUUUGUUGUUGUUGCCUGGUGUAGUUUGUUAUUUAAAAUUGUUGUUUAGGUGGAGGUGUCAUUUCAAGUUUGGAAUAAAGGAUAACUGGGAAUCCUGAGCAAGGUAGUCCUUGGUGUCCCACAGGACUUCAGUGGCUUGACUCUCUCAUCUCUAAUUCAAACCUGCUCUGAAAUAAUUAGAUCUCAAUAAGAGAAUGUUCCAAAAUUUUAUUUUUAUGCUGUAAAAUGGCAGGUGAAAACUGACUGUGCUGCUGACAUGUAGCUUAGACUGGUGAAUGAGUGGAGCAUGAUAUUCCUUGGGAAACUGGAGUGGAGGAGCAACCCCUGACCAUGCCCAAAGAAAGAUGUGCAAGUGAUUCAGCUCUUCCCUCUCUUGCAGGGGAGAGAUUAGAGGUGCACCCCCUUGUCAGUUCAUCUCCUUAACUCAUCAUAUAUUAUUUAUUGCAAGGAUUUGAUUUCCUAAGCCUGUCAUCUUCUUUUCUCUUAAGAUACCACUGACUAUUUGAUCUGGAGGGCUUAUUUUUUAUGAUGAUGGUGAUCAUUAUUGUGUACAGGCAGCUGAUGAGAACAGAGGAAGGAGCAGAUGAUGGCACCAAAUCCUGCCCUGGAGCUGAGCAGGGCUCAAGGAGCAGCCCCGUGUGGAGGAGCAGAUGGUGCUCUGCAAACUAUCAGCUGCAUUUUGUGGAGCAUUUCUGGAGCUGAGGGACAACUGUCUGGGAAUUUCCAGGUCAGGUAACCUUGCUCACUCUUGUGGAAAGCCUGAGGAGCUCCAGGAGGGAUUUAAAGAAGAGAUCUUCCUCUCCUGUUCAGCUAAUUACGAGCUCCUCCCUUCCAAACUCCUGAUCUCGUCACACAGCCGAAGGCGUCGACGGCAGAGCAGAGCCCGGAUUUGGGAGCUGGCGGUGCCGCGCCGCUGUUCCCGCAGCAGCCGGGUGCUUCUCCCUGUGCCUCUGGAGCCUGCCAUUGUGCUGGGAAGUGGAGCAGGUAACCACUUCAUCAGGCCGAGAUUCCAUUCUCGUGGAGCACGGAGGUUCAUUAUACUCACUUUAUCAGCAGUGCGCUUUACUGCCGAAUCCAUGAGAGAUAUUCAUGUGAAACAUGAGCAGAGAGAGAGGCAUUGCAUCUUUUCAUUAAUAAGCCCUCUUCUGGGAUCCGGCAUUAGCGAGAUUCAGCGGAUCAUAGAGCACAGGGGUAUCAUUUUUACAUGA